UACGAGAGGGGUGAACGUUACUCAUCAUGAAUGGGUCUAAAGGCUAUGUAGGUGGUUUCAUAAAAAGGAAUUUGAAAAAAACAAAAAAAUUUAUAAAAUCUCUUAAAUGUGAAACUAGAGUGUUAUGGAAGAAAAAGGAACUCUUAGAGUAGGGAUGAAAUCUUAUUAUCCUAAGAAGAACGCUAAUGGCGAAGGCUUUUUUCUAAGUAUACACUGACACUGAGAUAGGAAAGUAUGGGUAGCAAAUCGG
rnacentral:rRNA from 1 species